rnacentral:rRNA from 1 species
CUCUUUCAUUCCGACCUCUGUUCAGGUGAG